rnacentral:RNase_P_RNA from 1 species
AGGGCGGAUCAGACGAUCGCGUCCCGCCGUAGCGCGGGAUGAGGAAAGUCCGAACUCCGCAGGGCAGGAUGCCUCGUAACACGAGGGUUCCGCUCUGGCGACGGAGCGGAAACGGAAAGCGCCACAGAAAACAGACCGUCUCGGCACCGCCGGGACAAGGGUGAAAAGGUGGGGUAAGAGCCCACCGCUCCGACGGUAACGGCGGAGGCAUGGCAAGCCCCAUCCGGAGCAAGACCAAACAGGAGGGAUGAGGCGGCCCGUCUCGUUUGACCUCCGGGUAGGUCGCUAGAGGUCCGCCGCGAGGCGGAUCCCAGACAGAUGAUCGUCGCCCGUGGUGGGGUGACCCGCCUCGGGUACAGAAUUCGGCUUAUCGAUCCGUUCUGGAC